UUUUCAGUAUUUUCGUAAAGAUUAAUCCAUUUUUUUCCUUAUUUUUUAAAGAUUUUAUUUAUUUAUUCAUGAGAGACACAGAGAGAGGCAGAGACACAGGCAGAGGGAGGAGAAAACAGGCUUCCAUGCAGGAGCCCAAUAUGAGACUCAAUCCAGCAACUCCGGAGGCAAAGGCAGAUGCUCAACUGCUGAGCCACCCAGGCAUCCCCAAUCUUUUUUCAUAAUAAAAAAAGGACCAAAACCUGAAGAUCGUUUCCAGGGGGCAUGCAGCUGUCAUUUAAAGUCCCUGAGAGGCAUUUCCUCACUGAAACAGAGGCUUAAGCAGUUGACAUGCGACUCAAUGAAGAAUCUGACAGGUAAGCCCUGUCUUCUUUUAUUUCACUUCUCUUCUCUCUUUGUGUUGUGUAGAUGACUUUUGCUCUCAGGGGGCAACAAUUCCUGACUGUCUCACUAGAGCGAAGUCUUUCACUUUGGCUGUUGGGUCUAAUUACCCUGCGUGGUACCUCUGAAUGGGAGGCAACUCAAUGGUUUUCAAAACCUGUCCCUUCAGGCACACAAAAUAGGAAGAGAUAAAGACCCACGCUGUUUUGCUUUCACUGGAGUUAUCUAAACCAUACCUUAGCCACUUCCUAAUUGUGAGAUGAUAACUCGAGUGACCGCAUUCCGACUGUGGUAAGGCUGUAGCUCUCUGGCUGUCUCCUUGCCCUGCUAUGCAUUCCAGGACCAUCAGCAAUUUCCCUGAAGCAGUUCUUUAAAGUUUGGACAGUUUAUAAGAUGCUUCCACUUUUAUUAAGGUUACUAUUGUUUUUUUCACUAUUGUCAAACAUCUACAAAUAUUUUUCAGUGUUUCAUUGUGCCUUGUGUACUUGUGCACUUUGUAGAUACUUGAUGACUUAAUAUGGCAUUGGUUUGAAAUAUGGGAGAUCCUACAACUAGCCAGAAUACUAAAUAUUAAAUGCUAUCUAGUAUUAAAAACUAGCCAGAAUACUAAAAUAUUAACGAGAAGUUCAGAUGGGAGGGGUUCAUUUGUCAAGAAUAAUUUUUGAGAAGUGUUUAAUUCAAGUCAGUUUCAUAUUCCCCAAAUCCUAGAUAAAUAGAUGCACUGAUAUAAAGUUACUGAAUUUACUUUCUUGUCUUUGAUGUUAAUGGCUAUAUGUUGGUUACUAUUUAUAUUCAUUGAGAAAUGCAGUCAUUUGAUUUUUAAGUUAAAAUCAUACUACAUUUCUACAACAUAGGGCUGACGGUGGCUUAAUGAAAGUGGCUUCUGAUGAUGACAAAACUAUGGAUCUAUCUUUCUGACCAGAACUAAGGACUCUCUAAAUGCUGUUUUCUCAUAGUUUCAAUCUCUUAGAGGUCUGAAACCUCAGUGGGAUGAAGAGAAAUAUAUUGGGACUGCUUUUGAAUUCUGCUGU
rnacentral:lncRNA from 1 species